GCAAAGGGCAGCUCUGCUCCUCCGCCCCGCGCCGGCCGCUCGCUCGGCUCCCGGGGGAUCCCUGCUGCUCUUUGCAUCCUCAGGGUCGCCUCUCCCAUCACCUGGGUCUCCUCCCACCCCAGGGGCACGGUGACUUGUCUUUUCCCUUCUGCAGCAGAGUUAAACUUUCAUGAAAGCUGAAUUAACUUGGAGAAGAGCCAGCUGCAGGGACAGACAGCAACAUGAUGGGAUGAGAGCAACAAAGACCCAGACCACUGCUGUUCCUGCUAAUUCCCCUGCCUGCAUCCCACACCAGUCAUUUCCAGGGGGCUCAAAUUGCUCCAUGCACUGCAGCUUCUCCACCUCACCAUGACAGAACAUCCAGCCUGGCAAAGGCACCAGGCACCUCUUUCACCAUUUCUCAGGAAAACCCUUGCAAAAAAACCCCAAAAAACCAAACAAAUGAACCAAAUAAAAAAA